GACGAACGCUGGCGGCGUGCUUAACACAUGCAAGUCGAACGGAAAGGCCCCUUUGGGGGUACUCGAGUGGCGAACGGGUGAGUAACACGUGAGUAACCUGCCCUUGACUUCGGGAUAACUUCAGGAAACUGGGGCUAAUACCGGAUAGGAAUCCUUGCUGCAUGGUGGGGGUUGGAAAGCUUCGGCGGUUUUGGAUGGACUCGCGGCUUAUCAGCUUGUUGGUGGGGUAGUGGCUUACCAAGGCUUUGACGGGUAGCCGGCCUGAGAGGGCGACCGGCCACAUUGGGACUGAGAGACGGCCCAGACUCCUACGGGAGGCAGCAGUGGGGAAGAUUGGACAAUGGGCGUAAGCCUGGUGCAGCAACGCCGCGUGCGGGAUGACGGCCUUCGGGUUGUAAACCGCUUUCAGCAGGGGCGAAGCUUGUGGUGACGGUACCUGGAGAAGAAGCACCGGCUAACUACGUG
rnacentral:rRNA from 1 species